UACGUAGGGUGCGAGGGUUAAUCGGAAUUACUGGGCGUAAAGCGUGCGUAGGCGGUUCGCUGUGUCCGAUGUGAAAGCCCCGGGCUUAACCUGGGAGUGGCAUUGGAAACUGGCGGGCUUGAGUGCGGCAGAGGGGGGUGGAAUUCCGCGUGUAGCAGUGAAAUGCGUAGAGAUGCGGAGGAACACCGAUGGCGAAGGCAGCCCCCUGGGUCGACACUGACGCUCAGGCACGAAAGCGUGGGGAGCAAACAGG
rnacentral:rRNA from 1 species